rnacentral:misc_RNA from 1 species
GUUGAGUAUUGUUUCAUGAUCAUCCAGUAUAGAUGUGGACGUGAACAGCCAAGAUGAGAAUAGCGUAGAGAGUGAAAAAGAUGAGAGUGUGAACAGCAAUAGCCUUGCCGUUAGUUUUCAUGCUUCCAAACUCCAGGUGGCGGCUGUGUCCGGGAAUCUGAAAGAGAAGUCCCGGCGUCAGCAGCACGAACAGAACCACACCAAUCAAUACAGGCCCCCAAUCGGCCAUUAAAUGGAAAGAUUGGAGAUUUGGUUACUGUUUGAAAUUUUGUUUUGUUGUUGUUUCAGAUUAAAGAGAAGUGAAGUGAAACUGUACAAGCGACUUAAAUGGUUCGCUUAAAGAUGAGGCUAUGGCUCAUAGAUAUCGGAGCGAGUGAG